AAAUAUAUCUAACUGAAAUUAAAAUAACAAAAAUAAGAGUAUGAUUAAUAUUCGCUUAGCGUAACAGAUUGGAAAAUAUUUAGCUCACCAUUUUCACGGACGACAACUAAUCUUCUUCCCAAGCAACAAUUGGCAAUCGGCGGAAAAGCAAGCUUUUUUGGACGGCUCACAUUGGGCGAGCUUCAGGUGGCCAUAACAAAGAAAACAAGGAAAACAGAAGAAACUUUUAUGUGCCAAUGUUUACGUGGCAUCGUUUCCACUGGUUGGCCGGCUUCAGAUAUCUUUCGCAAGACACUACGAACGUUUCCCUCCAGCAGAGUGUGUAUUUAAGCCCGAUGUGGAACGGACCAAACACCAAAUCGCUAAUUCUUAUAUUCGGAUUGGGGUUCGACUGCCUAUUGGCGUUAUAGCCCGCGAUUUGGUUUUUUUUGCCAAGGCAACUUGUUGCUACGAAGUGAGGUUUUCAGUAGCUGUUGCGUUACGGCACCAUGAACAAGUAUAGUUGGAAUCUGUUUUUGGAAAACAAUAAUCUGUAAGUAGCUGAAUCAGGCGGGUCUCAAGCAAAAUGCAUCGCUUUAAGUUUGCACAUCUAAUAUAA
rnacentral:sRNA from 1 species